ACUUGGCUUUCUACAACAGUUGAGGUCCUCAACACUGAGGAACUUGUUUGCUCGAUCAUGCACAGAGAAAUGCACCAUGUGGUCAAAAUGUCAUAGAUGACCUUGCCUC